CUCAUCAAUUUUGCUCACAAUAAUUGUAUCAAGACAUUCAUAGCUAUCCAUGGCUGAGAAGGUGACGAUCAUGGUGCUCAAGGUUGAUCUCCAAUGUCCUUGCUGCUUCAAGAAAGUCAAGAAAAUUAUCUGCGAAUUUCCCUAAAUUAGUGACCAGGUGUACAAGAAGAAGGAAAACGAGAUAGAAAUAACUGUUGUAUGUUGCAAUCCGGAGAAAAUUCAAGACAAAUUAUGCCGCAAAGGUGCAAAAGUCAUCAAAAGCAUCAAAAUCGUUGACCCACCCAAGAACGAGCCCACAAAAACCGACAAGCCCGAAAAGACCAAUAAGAAAGUCAAGGUGAGGAGUUGUUGCGGGCCGUGCUCACAAGGAUACGGUGGAGGCCCGUGCUACUUCGGACACGGGCCACCACCGCUGCCGAUGCCGCAACCAUGCUUUGAUGGCUACUAUGUGUACCGGUGCCAUGAUAGGCCAUGUCACGUGACAAGAUGUGACUACUACUUUAGUGAGGAGAAUCUUCAAGCAUGCUGGAUCAUGUGAUGUCAAUAACAGAUCCAGAAAAUAAAAUCCGUGGGGUCGGAUAAUAAAAAUUUAAUGUAAUACUAUAAUGUUUAA